CGGGGUGCACCAGGCGCGAAAACUUUACAAUGCUGGCAACAGCGAUAAGGGGACCUCGAGUGCCAGGAUACAAUCCUGGCAGUCGUAAUGCCUAAAAAGCACUGCAUAGCAAGGGCCGGGCAAGACCGGUGCCAGCCGCCGCGGUAACACAGGCGGCUCGAGUGGUAACCGCUAUUAUUGGGUCUAAAGGGUCUGUAGCCGGCUGAGUAAGUCUCUCGGGAAAUCUGGCAGCUCAACCGUCAGGCUUUCCGGAGAUACUUAUCGGCUCGAGACCGGGAGAGGUGAGAGGUACCUCAGGGGUAGGGGUGAAAUCUUGUAAUCCCUGAGGGACCACCAGUGGCGAAGGCGUCUCACCAGAACGGAUCUGACGGCAAGGGACGAAAGCUAGGGGCACGAACCGGAUUAGAUACCCGGGUAGUCCUAGCCGUAAACGAUACUCCCUAGGUGUCGGCCACGGUGCGACCGUGGUCGGUGCCGUAGGGAAGCCGUGAAGCGAGCCACCUGGGAAGUACGGCCGCAAGGCUGAAACUUAAAGGAAUCGGCGGGGGAGCACAAGGGCAAUUCGCG
rnacentral:rRNA from 1 species